ACUAAGGUUUGUUUUAUCACAUGAACCUUCGAUGACGAUGAUGAUGAUUUAUAAAGGCCGAGCGAGACGAAGAAGUAAGUCGCCUAUUUUCUUUCCGAAACUAAGCGAAGGACUUCAGGCUAAGCGAGGAGCGAGAUUGGUCUGGUGCUGGUGGGGGAACAUUUCAAUCGAUGUAUUUAUAUUUCCGUAUUGCCUUCAUGUUAAUAGAGUCUUGAUGAUUGAGAUACUUUGUUUUCUUUUGAAAUCAAGCAAUUUACUCACGGUUAUGUGUCUUCAUACAUGUAAUCGAUUCGCCUUUUGCUGUGAUACUCUGAAUAUUAUUAUUCCUUAUGAAAAA